GAAAUGCGAUAAGUAGUGUGAAUUGCAGAAUUCAGUGAAUCAUCGAAUCGUUGAACGCACAUUGCGCCCCUUGGUAUUCCAUGGGGCAUGCCUGUUCGUGCGUCAUUUGUACCCUCAAGCUUUGCUUGGUGUUGGGCGUCUUGUCCUCUUCUGGAGGACUCGCCUCAAAACAAUUGGCAGCCGGCAUAUUGCUAUCGGAGCGCAGCACAAGUCGCACUUUGUUCCACGAAUGUUGGCAUUCAUCAAGACCAUUUUUUUCACUCUUGACCUCUUAUCAGGUAGGGAUACCCGCUGAACUUAA
rnacentral:misc_RNA from 1 species